AUUGAACGCUGGCGGCAGGCCUAACACAUGCAAGUCGAACGGUAACAGGAAGAAGCUUGCUUCUUUGCUGACGAGUGGCGGACGGGUGAGUAAUGUCUGGGAAACUGCCUGAUGGAGGGGGAUAACUACUGGAAACGGUAGCUAAUACCGCAUAACGUCGCAAGACCAAAGAGGGGGACCUUCGGGCCUCUUGCCAUCGGAUGUGCCCAGAUGGGAUUAGCUAGUAGGUGGGGUAACGGCUCACCUAGGCGACGAUCCCUAGCUGGUCUGAGAGGAUGACCAGCCACACUGGAACUGAGACACGGUCCAGACCCCUACGGGAGGCAGCAGUGGGGAAUAUUGCACAAUGGGCGCAAGCCUGAUGCAGCCAUGCCGCGUGUAUGAAGAAGGCCUUCGGGUUGUAAAGUACUUUCAGCGGGGAGGAAGGGAGUAAAGUUAAUACCUUUGCUCAUUGACGUUACCCGCAGAAGGAGCACCGGCUAACUCCGUG
rnacentral:rRNA from 1 species